rnacentral:rRNA from 1 species
GCAUAAUAACUUGCCCAUUAAUUGUGGGCUAGAAUGAAUGGAAAAACGAAGUAAUAGCUGUCUCUAGUAGUAACAUAAAAACUAAUAUCCCAGUGAAGAAGCUGAGAUAAAAUCACAGGACAAGAAGACCCUAUAGAGCUUUAUUUUUAAUACAUAUACAAAAUGUAGAAAAAUUCAGUUGGGGCGACUAAGGAAAAAUCAUCCUAAAACAUAUAAGACAAACAAGUCAGUCAAAAGAUCCUAAUUAUAGAUCAAAGAAAUUAGCUACCUUAGGGAUAACAGGCUAAUCCUCCUGGAAAGUCCAAAUUUAUAGGAGGGG